UCCAUUCAUCCCGGCCUUAUCCAACCAGACAACCAGAAGUACCGCUCCACACGCCGCCGGCGCUGGUCGCUCCAAACGCCUCUCCCGACUCCACUCUGGCUCAGCAGCCCCACCUCUACCGCCAGACCUCCCCCUCCGACGCCGACAUCAGCAAGUACGCCGCCGGCGCGGCCCGUCCCCCAAGUCCACGACGCCUGUUGUUGCCUCCUCUUCUGAUGCAGCAGCCCCGCUGCCCACCACCUCCUCCUCCCCAACAUCUCCUCCUCCCCCUACCCCGUCUCCAUCAAUGUCCACGCCGGCAAGUACGCCGUCGGAGCUGUCCUUCCCCCGAGUGCGCAACGCCUCUCCCGCAUCCUCCUCUGAUGCAGAAGCCCCAUCACCACCCCCUCCUCCUCGCUGUCUCCACCAUCGCCGACCUUCGCGUAUGCCGGCUACGCGCUACACAUCCUCGGCGGCCGCGCCGACGUGCUCCACGUUCUUCCACUUCGCGUACGAGCUGCUCCCCGAGGACCUCUUUGUCGUCUGCUGCAAUUGAAGCGCCACGAGUCGGUCCGUCUCGGAGAUGGCUGGUCUGGUCUCUGGUGUGAUCUGUGAUGUUGACGUGGAGGAACUAUGCUCUGCUAUUGCCAUCUACUAAUAAUAUUCUUUGUCAAGGACCAAGGUCCAAAAGAUGUUCGAUAAGCUUAGGAGUUUCCCGGAGAAACCCUUGGAUUUAGGUCUGAAGCUGAAGAACUACAAGGUCAAAGAGGCAGCAAGUCUUACGCCCCAAAUGUUAUAGCCCUCGUGCCAACAAAGUGCUAAAGGAAAACAAAAAGGUUGGUCUCCUACUUUACCGCCUGGCAAAACAAUCUGCUUUCAUAUUUCUUAGUUUGUACCUGACCAUUUAUGUCCAACUUGCAAUGAGUGGUCGACGGCAGUAACAUGCUAUACCAUCAUUCCAUAUGUCGUUCCUGGCGGUGCUGAUGCCAAUUACCCCGAGCCAUUAUGUCCGCUCCUAACCGUAAUCAUCCCUCCAUAAGUUAUGUGUCCUAUUAGAUCCAAGAAAUUGGUCAUUUUUUGGAGUAAAGAUGUGUAUCAGAUACGUGCGCAAUUGAAACCGCGCUCUCUCCUAAACAUGUGAUUUGCUAAAUGUUUAGAAUGAAUCGGUUGCGGAUCCGCAUAGCACCUUGUGAGCUGCACAUUUAGACUUUCUGUUUGAUUCUUUGUAGAAGCUCGCAGUUCAUCCUUGCUGAAGUUCACUGUACUCCAUUCCUCGGGUUGGUACCAGAUUUGCUAUUCAGUAUCUAGACCAUACUUUAAUUGUGACGUGUGUCAGAUUUUUGUACUUGGCCUGAUUUGGUGUAACGUAAAUAGGGGAUCAUGAUCAAGGAUGACUAAGUGUAUUAUUUAGUAGAUAAGUUCUCGAGUCCCACACCUUGUAUCAAGUACUUUAACUUCCCAGUCUUCGAAAAAAUAUUAGUCUGUAUUUAACAUAAUUUGAAAUAAUCACUUUUACGAAAAAAACAUAUGCAUACUUGUGUUGUUGUGUGAGAUCUACUUGGAAGUGCUAUAUGAUAAAAUAUAUGUAGCAUUAAUAAUAUCCUUCUGGUUUGUGGUCUGAUAUGUGCUAAUCAGUGCAGUAUUGCUUGUAGAUAGAUUUUUCAUGACUUCAAGCUGUGCCUCCCAACUCCAAGUAAAUUUUGAUAUUGUGUAAGUUCUAUAAGCUUGAAAUCCCAUGGAAAAUAGCGCUAUUCUUUUUCUAAGACAGUCAUAUGCCUACAUGAACCAGUAAAUUAUUGGAAUGUUUCUUAAAGAAGUACUCCUUUGUAAACUAAUAUAAGAUCUUUAUCUAUUAGUUUACAGAGGGAGUACAUCUUAAUUGGUUUAGUUCCAUGGCAGAGCAAAUCCUAUCUGACUCUUAUUUUGCAGAUAGUCGACCAAACACACCAUAUCGUGGGCUAGCAUAGCAUGGUCAGAGAUGAGACCGAGGGCUUGAAGUGGAGCCGGAGACUACGCGACCAAAUUAGAUUUUUGUGCAUUAUAUGGUGUCUUGGCAGAUUUAGAUUCCCCUUAAAAAAUGACGCCAUUGACUUUAUGUUGAACACUAUUUCGGCGUUACAAGGCAACAACCGCUAGACCAAAUUCUGUAAUUUAGCAUGUUCAGCGCAUUCAGGUUGUGAGUAUGUGUAUUUUAGUUCAAGGAUUAUGUGUGCUUGUGGACACUUGCAGUUUACAUUUUGUCAAAUUUUGCUCA